rnacentral:lncRNA from 1 species
UUUUAUACAGCAAUUGAUCAGUUAUGUAAAAAGGCUAGCAAAGCUAUAUUUUGUAUUAGAAAAUUAUUAUUUUGUGAAAAGAUGAAUUUACUACCACAUUUAAAGCUUUUUGAUUCAUGCGAUAAACCCAGUCUGUUAUAUAGCAGUGAAGUUUGGGAUACUAUUAGUUUAGUGAAACAAAAUACUGCCAUUGAGUCAAACUAUACAAACUUCAGUCCAAAUAAAAUUAAAAUAAAAUUUUCUAAAUUUUUAUUGGGUGUAAAUAAGGGUGCUGUUAAUAAUGCUGUACUUUCUGAAUAAGGUUUAUUCCCACUUUCAUUGUCAGCCCUUAAAAAUACUAUUAAUUUCUGGCUUCAUAUCAUUAAUAUGGACAAUGAGAGUAUGGAAAAGAAAGCAUACAAUGAAAACUUAAACUUUCCUAAUGGUUUUUGUAGUAAAUUAAGUGUUAUUAGGUAGACUUGGUUUUCAGCAUGUCUGGGAAAAUCAAAAUACU